rnacentral:rRNA from 1 species
CGUGUAGGUGGCUUGGCAAGUUGGGUGUGAAAGCCCGGGGCCCAACCCCGGAAUUGCACUCAAAACUGCUUCGCUAGAGUCUCGGAGAGGAAAGCGGAAUUCCCGGUGUAGAGGUGAAAUUCGUAGAUAUCGGGAGGAACACCAGUGGCGAAGGCGGCUUUCUGGACGAUGACUGACACUGAGACGCGAAAGCGUGGGGAGCAAACAGGAUUAGAUACCCUGGUAGUC